rnacentral:rRNA from 1 species
GAUGAACGCUGGCGGCGUGCCUAACACAUGCAAGUCGAACGAGCGGACGGGAAGCUGGCGCCCCUGGUUUUAGCGGGGGACGGGUGAGUAACUCAUGGAUAACCUACCUCUAAGACUGGGAUAAUAACGGGGAACCGGGUCUAAUAACGGAUAAUAUUUUGAACCAGAUUGUUCAAGAGUUAAAGUCGCUCUUGCUGACACUAAUAGACUGAUACGCGCUGAAUUAGUUGGUUGGUAAGGUAACUGCUUACCAAGGCAACGAUGCAGAGCCGACCUGAGAGGGAGAUCGGACACCCUGGCACUGAGAAACGGUACACACUCCUACGGGAGGCCGCAGUCGGGACUCCUACGCAAUGGGGGAAAGCCUGAUAGAGCAACACCGCGUGAGUGCUGAAGGACUUCGGCUCGUAAAGCGCUGUUGGUCGGAAAGUAGAAAAGCUCUUGUACCCGUGAUGAUAAUGACGGUACCUAAAGAAUAAGCUCCGGCUAACUCCGUG